UUAAUGUUUCUUUACUGUAUGUCAUGUGAUUGUCCUGAAAAAAGUUGUAAAAAAAAUGAAAAAUAAAGAAAAUAAUAGAUUUGCUUCCUGGUUUAAAGUUGAGCUUUAAAAGGCAAAAGUUAGAUUGAUCACUGCCCUGUGAGGAUCCUGGUGAACCUCUGCACACUCACCAGGGCCCGGCUGGAUCGUGUCAUCUGCUCUGCAAGCCUCUCCUCACAGCAGCUGCACAUCUGCAGGGCCCAGAGACAAGCCGCCGGGAUCGCAGCUGGCCCCUCCCACCACGCACAGCCACUCCCACUCUGGCAGGAGGCUCUGGUCCAUUGGAACAAAGAUCUGCUGCUUCAGAACUUUAAUUGUUUCAGAAAUGAAGAAUACUGUAGAUUAAAAAACCACAAGUUCUUUUGAACUUUAACCAAACGCGUCCAGAAAACGAUCAAGUAAAUGAAAAAGUGAAGGCUGCCGCGUUCCGUUAACAUUUUCAAACACUCACAUUGACUUUACAGCUGAAACAGAUUCAUAAGACAUUAAUCUUUAAUGUUUCCAGCUUUAGUGCUGACAGAACAGAACACAUCAGGAAUGUUCAAUCAGAGAAUUCUUUGUCCAAAUAUGACAUUUUUCUGUUGCUUUUGAUGACUAACCAGUCCUGUGUAGCGUUCCCCAAACCAGACAAACCUCAGAAGAGGAUAUUUAUAGCUGCUCUACUUUUCUCUGCAGGAGAUCAACAAGUCACAGACUUUCUGCUCCAAAGAGUAUCAACAUUACAAGCAGCUGCUCGGGAUCAACUAAUAAAAGUAGAUGCCUCCAACCUUCAAGGUCUCCCACGUGUCGGCAGCUAUUUUAACCAGGGAGCCAAGAAACAGGACGAAAGCAGCUUCAGGCGUGACGGAAGAGGAUGGUGGCUUGACAAAGAAACAUACGGGUUACUUGAAGGGAGCUUGGCUGAAAUGCCUUUUCCUCUAGAGGGCGCACCAGGCCUGACCGAGUAAGGAAGUGAUACCAACUACCCAUUAAUGAUCACGGCAGGGGGGUACAGGCUUUACCCCAAUGGCUUUCAUCAGGAUCCGUGUCAGCUUAACGCGUGAGCGGGGAAUUAAGCUGAAUGAAAACAUCGACACCCCACCCGUUUCAUUCUGAGGAAGAACACCGCCAUAACCCUAACACACUCACACGUUCAGUGCAGCCGUUACAGUUUUAAUCAGUGGACAUUCAGCAGAAAUCAUACUUUGUCAUCAUCAUUUACAACUGGGGUAGAACAGUGGAACAGUGGACAGCACUUUCUCCUCACAGUGAUGGAGUUGGAAUCCCGGUUGAGACCUUUCUGUGUGGAGUUUGCAUGCUCUCCUGGUUCAUGUGUGGCUUUUUCUUCGUCUUCCUUGCACAGUCCAACCAGAUGCUUCAUGUCUCUGUGUGGUCCUGCGACGACUGGAUAACUGUAGAGUGACCCCCCCCCUCCUCCUCCUCCUCUAUUCACCCAUCAGCAGCUGUGUAGGCUCCAGUGACCCCAUGACCCCCAACAAUAGGCAGGUAUCAAAAAUAAAUUACUUUAAAAACCACAAAAAAACAUUUGAAAGCAGCUCAUUUAGAAAAUGAAAAUAUUCCAGUUUAAACUGAAGUAAAAGUUUCUUUUUUCAUAUUAUUCAAACUUAUGAAACAUCUCAACUUUUCCAGGAUUCAUCUGUACUUUCUUUAUUUUUGGCGAUGAUAAACUGAUUCAGUGUUUUAAUUCUAAUGUUUAUCAGAUCAUCGAAGAAGCGAAAAUUCAAGCUCAGACACAUAGAACCCAGAAUUUAAUCAAAACCCCAAAAUAAAAAAUGUCUGCAGACGAGGUAAAACGGUACAGAAAAAACAUUUACACUACGGCUGUGUUAAAUGUAACCACAAGGGGCGCAAUCCAGUGAUUAUGUGUGCCAGUCCCAAGUCUGAGUAAACGCAGACAGUUGUGUCACGAAGGACGUCAUGUGGGAAACAUAAUGAGGAACUCAAGUGGAAUAAUGAGGUUACAGGGGGCGGAGGUGAGGAAGGUGGAGGACUUUAAGCACUGGGGGUCACAAGUCCAGAUCAACAGAGUGUGGGAAAGAAGUGGAGAUGUACGCAACCGGUUGGAACGGGUGGAGGAAGGUUUCAGGUGUAAUGUGUGACUAAAAAAAUGUCAGCUAAAUGAAGGGAAAUGUGUAGAAGACUGUGAGGGAAGCAGCCAUUAGAGAGUGAGAAAGAGACAAGAGGCAGAUCAGGAGGUAGCAGAGAUGAAG